GGAUAUGUGGCUCAGUGGGUAGAGUCUUGGCUUACAUGCAUGAAGCCCUGGGUUCAAUCCCCAGCACUGCUU
rnacentral:tRNA from 1 species